AGUCGAACGGUAACAGGUUAAGCUGACGAGUGGCGAACGGGUGAGUAAUGUAUCGGAACGUGCCCAGUCGUGGGGGAUAACUGCUCGAAAGAGCAGCUAAUACCGCAUACGACCUGAGGGUGAAAGCGGGGGAUCGCAAGACCUCGCGCGAUUGGAGCGGCCGAUAUCAGAUUAGGUAGUUGGUGAGGUAAAGGCUCACCAAGCCGACGAUCUGUAGCUGGUCUGAGAGGACGACCAGCCACACUGGGACUGAGACACGGCCCAGACUCCUACGGGAGGCAGCAGUGGGGAAUUUUGGACAAUGGGCGCAAGCCUGAUCCAGCCAUGCCGCGUGCGGGAAGAAGGCCUUCGGGUUGUAAACCGCUUUUGUCAGGGAAGAAAAGGUUCUGGCUAAUACCUGGGACUCAUGACGGUACCUGAAGAAUAAGCACCGGCUAACUACGUGCCAGCAGCCGCGGUAAUACGUAGGGUGCAAGCGUUAAUCGGAAUUACUGGGCGUAAAGCGUGCGCAGGCGGUUAUGCAAGACAGAGGUGAAAUCCCCGGGCUCAACCUGGGAACUGCCUUUGUGACUGCAUGGCUAGAGUACGGUAGAGGGGGAUGGAAUUCCGCGUGUAGCAGUGAAAUGCGUAGAUAUGCGGAGGAACACCGAUGGCGA
rnacentral:rRNA from 1 species